rnacentral:rRNA from 1 species
UACAGAGGGGGGCAAGCGUUGUUCGGAAUUACUGGGCGUAAAGGGCGCGUAGGCGGCCAACUAAGUCAGACGUGAAAUCCCUCGGCUUAACCGGGGAACUGCGUCUGAUACUGGAUGGCUUGAGUUUGGGAGAGGGAUGCGGAAUUCCAGGUGUAGCGGUGAAAUGCGUAGAUAUCUGGAGGAACACCGGUGGCGAAGGCGGCAUCCUGGACCAACACUGACGCUGAGUGAGCGAAAGCGUGGGGAGCAAACAGG